AUUGAACGCUGGCGGCAUGCCUAACACAUGCAAGUCGAACGAGUGGCGGACGGGUGAGUAAUGUCUGGGAAACUGCCUGAUGGAGGGGGAUAACUACUGGAAACGGUAGCUAAUACCGCAUACCAUCGGAUGUGCCCAGAUGGGAUUAGCAAGUAGGUGGGGUAAAGGCUCACCUAGGCGACGAUCCCUCGCUGUACUGAGAGGAUGACCAGCCAAGCGUGAACUGAGAAAAGGUCCAGACUCCGACGGGAGGCAGCAGUGGGGAAUAUUCCACAAUGGGCGCAAGCCUGAUGCAGCCAUGCCGCGUGUAUGAAGAAGGCCUUCGGGUUGUAAAGUACUUUCAGCGGGGAGGCGUUACCCGCAGAAUAAGCACCGGCUAACUCCGUGCCAGCAGCCGCGGUAAUU
rnacentral:rRNA from 1 species